CUCUUGGUUCCUCGCAAUGAUGUUCGGUUUAUUAGGUCAGGUUCGGAAGAAAGCAGCCGGAGUCGAGAUUUUCGUGUGCCGAGAUCAAGCUGGG
rnacentral:SRP_RNA from 2 species